rnacentral:rRNA from 1 species
UACGAAGGGGGCUAGCGUUGCUCGGAAUCACUGGGCGUAAAGGGUGCGUAGGCGGGUCUUUUAAGUCAGGGGUGAAAUCCUGGAGCUCAACUCCAGAACUGCCUUUGAUACUGAAGAUCUUGAGUCCGGGAGAGGUGAGUGGAACUGCGAGUGUAGAGGUGAAAUUCGUAGAUAUUCGCAAGAACACCAGUGGCGAAGGCGGCUCACUGGCCCGGUACUGACGCUGAGGCACGAAAA